GAGGGUAUAGCUCAGUGGUAGAGUGCAUGGUUAGCAUGCAUGAGGUCACGGGUUUGAUACCUAGUACCUCCG
rnacentral:tRNA from 1 species